UAGGAAUUCACCUAUUCUGGACCUUUCAUAUAAAUGGAAUCAUACAUAUGUGGUCUUCUGUGACUGGCUUUCUUCACCUAGGAUUCCCAAGUGCAGACCUUCAUAUAGAAGCACCACCGCUCUGUUCCCAAAGAUGGACAUGCACUCGGAAGCAUUCUUUCCCCUUAGUCAAGCUAGGUUUCAACCCCUCAUCCAAACUACCUCACUGAGUAUGGCUUUGCAUGGAAUACCACUUAACAUCAUGGAAUAAAACAAAAUUAACUGCUC
rnacentral:lncRNA from 1 species